rnacentral:rRNA from 1 species
UACGAAGGGGGCUAGCGUUGCUCGGAAUUACUGGGCGUAAAGCGCACGUAGGCGGGUCGCUAAGUCGGGGGUGAAAUCCUGGAGCUCAACUCCAGAACUGCCUUCGAAACUGACGAUCUUGAGUUCGGGAGAGGUGAGUGGAACUGCGAGUGUAGAGGUGAAAAUUCGUAGAUAUUCGCAAGAACACCAGUGGCGAAGGCGGCCCACUGGCCCGAUACUGACGCUGAGGUGCGAAAGCGUGGGGAGCAAACAGG